rnacentral:rRNA from 1 species
AUUGAACGCUGGCGGCAGGCCUAACACAUGCAAGUCGAACGAGUGGCGGACGGGUGAGUAAUGUCUGGGAAACUGCCUGAUGGAGGGGGAUAACUACUGGAAACGGUAGCUAAUACCGCAUACCAUCGGAUUUGCCCAGAUGGGAUUAGCUAGUUGGUGGGGUAACGGCUCACCAAGGCGACGAUCCCUAGCUGGUCUGAGAGGAUGACCAGCCACACUGGAACUGAGACACGGUCCAGACUCCUACGGGAGGCAGCAGUGGGUAAUAUUGCACAAUGGGCGCAAGCCUGAUGCAGCAAUGCCGCGUGUAUGAAGAAGGCCUUCGGGUUGUAAAGUACUUUCAGCGGGGAGGCGGUACCCGCAGAAGAAGCACCGGCUAACGCCGUGCCAGCAGCCGCGGUAAUAC